rnacentral:tRNA from 1 species
UUAUUUUGGCAGAUUAGUGUGUAUGAUUUAGAAUCAUUUUAAGUAAUAUUUAUUACAGGUAAUAU